UACAGAGGGUGCGAGCGUUGUCCGGAAUCACUGGGCGUAAAGGGCGCGUAGGUGGCGCGACAAGUCAGUGGUGAAAGUUCGACGCUCAACGUCGAAUCGGCCACUGAUACUGUUGGGCUUGAGCACUGUAGAGGCUAAUGGAAUUCCGGGUGUAGCGGUGGAAUGCGUAGAGAUCCGGAAGAACACCGGUGGCGAAGGCGGUUCUCUGGGCAUUACCUGACGCUGAGGAGCGAAAGUGUGGGGAGCGAACAGG
rnacentral:rRNA from 1 species